rnacentral:rRNA from 1 species
AACGAGGAGAUUCAUCGUCAGCGACGUCGGCUCUUCGGCGGUUCGUGAUGCGCGCGGUGUCCUUUCGGGCGUCCGCGUCGUACGCGUCCGUUGUGUCUCAAUGUCCGGCGGCGUCGGCGUGCACUUCUCCUCUAGUAGGACGUCGCGACCCGUUGGGUGUCGGUCUACGGCUCGGGCUGUCGCCUGUUCCGGACGUUUCGGCGUCGCGUUGCAGACACCCGGUCGCCCGACCGGCUGCUCGGCGGUACUCGCAAGGUAUCUGGCCGCAAUCGAACUGCGUCUUAGGCCCAUCGCAAGCGGGGUCAGUGUCACCGGGGUGUGCGGACCUAGCGCCGUUCCUCCGGGCCUGUCCUGUUGUUAUCCGGCGGUGUCCUCUGACAGGCCGUAUCUCACGAUAUGUGAUACCGGUCGUCGACGCUGCUGCUUUGGG